ensembl:lncRNA
GAGAAAGAGAGAGAGACAGAGAGGUAGAGAGAGGUUGGGGCAGGCUAGAGAGAGAGAAAGAGUGACCGAGGUAGAGAGAGGUUGGGGCAAGGUACAGAGAGAGCGAGGUAGAGAGCGGUUGGGGUAGUUAAGCCAGACAUCACAAUAGGUGGACUCCGCUCCGCAGCGCGUCCGGUUCGUCUAGUCUCCAGUCGGCGUGUGUGUGGGCUACGGAGGAUUUUUACCGAGGCUGUGUUGAACCACUGUGCGGCUAUUUUACGGACCUUUCGGUGAUCUUUGGGAUGACAGCAACGUGAAAAGUUGAAUUUUCUGCUGCCAUAUGGCCGGCAGAUACUUUGAAUUCCUGCUGCUGCCGUGUCCGUUCCCGGUGAAGCAGCCAUUCUACGGUGAACAAUGGUAGGCUACGGAGUGUGCGGAUAAGAUAGUGUGUGUUGUUGAUGUUGUUGUGCAAACAGGACCAGUGACCGUGGAGAGAAAAAGACGAAAUGACAGGCAGAUAUACCAGUUAUGAAGCCACAUACCAACAUCAGAGUUUCCCCUUCUUAUGAACUCCUUGUGUGUGUGCGUAUUGUACAAGUUGCUUCUACUUGCAAACAGAUGUGGAGGGACGAGAGACUGAAGACUGAAUAUCGGUCAACCGUGCGUUACUGUAAAUGUUCUAAUUUUUUAUUCAAAAAGGACUUCCAGGGAAGGAGUUGAUUGAUACAUUCCCCGGGUCAUUAGCUGAACUGACUCAUCUCCCCGGGCGCUGCGCUGCCCACUGCUCCGGGUGUGCCGGUGUGACCUGUGUCUGUCUGUCUGUCUGUGUGAGUGUGUGCAAGUGUGUAUUCACCGCCUCCCGGAUGGGUCAAAAGCAGAGGAAGAAUUUUUCCUAAAGUGGACAAUAGAAGAUAGCCUAACCUUACCUUACCCAUACAUGAAUGAACAGGUGUUGGUGAGGCGUGUUGUUCUAGGAUGCCUGUAGGUAGGCUGGCAGCCACUGGGUAUCCAACGGGUUCCUUCCCGCCGGGGGUUGGUACUCACUUCAUCCCUUCACUACCGUGCUCUGUCGCUUCUGCUCACAAUCACUGGUCCAAAUACCUGGCUUGAGCCGAAAACGGCAUUUCUAUCGUAGGUCCUAUAUAUAUCGUAUAUCAAAUUAUAUUUAUGUUAUGACAUAUAUCAGGGUAUAUGUCAUAACAGUCAGCAGCUUUGCAAAUUUGGCUGAAUAAAGAUUACGCUAUGUACUGUACUUCUUGAUGGAUACUUUCUGUGACUAUUAUAGUCAUCCAGAGAUACGUUGUGUGAGUAGAGAACCGU